rnacentral:rRNA from 1 species
GACGUAGGGUGCAAGCGUUGUCCGGAUUUAUUGGGCUUAAAGGGCGCGUAGGCGGGCUGUCAAGUCUGGGGUGAAAUGCCGCGGCUCAACCGUGGAACUGCCUUAGAUACUGACGGCCUCGAGGAGGGUAGGGGCAUGCGGAACUGUAGGUGGAGCGGUGAAAUGCGUUGAUAUCUACAGGAACUCCGGUGGCGAAAGCGGCGUGCUGGACCUUUUCUGACGCUGAGGCGCGAAAGCUAGGGGAGCAAACGGG